rnacentral:rRNA from 1 species
GAUGAACGCUAGCGGGAGGCUUAACACAUGCAAGUCGAGGGGCAGCACGUCUUCGGAUGGUGGCGACCGGCGAACGGGUGCGUAACGCGUAUGCAACCUACCCUUAACAGGAGAAUAGCCCAGAGAAAUUUGGAUUAAUACUCCAUAGUAUUACAGAUUCGCAUGUUUCUGUAAUUAAAGUUCCAACGGUUAAGGAUGGGCAUGCGUGACAUUAGCUUGUUGGUGAGGUAACGGCUCACCAAGGCAACGAUGUCUAGGGGUUCUGAGAGGAUGAUCCCCCACACUGGUACGUGAGACACGGACCGAGACUCCUACGGGAGGGCGAG